rnacentral:misc_RNA from 1 species
GCUGGCCCACCCCACCGUAGCAGGCUGAGUUGUAGUUUGGCCGCGAGCGAGUUCGUGUGUCCGUGCCGUCGAAUGUGUGUACGUCCGUCGUUGAUUCUUGUUUUGUGAGGAGGCUGCUGGAAAACGAAGAAGAAUCUCAGCCCGUUGAUCAAUAAUAUCGGAAUUUCGUGACUCAAUCCGGCUGCCCAUGAGUGGCCUCGGUUGGUGAAAAUGAUCAGCGCCAUCGUUUCGCGUAUUGUGAUACUGCUGUUCGGCACGCUCUACCCGGCGUACGCGUCCUACAAGGCGGUCCGGACCAAAAAUGUCAAAGAAUACGUCAAAUGGAUGAUGUACUGGAUCGUGUUUGCGUUCUUCACCUGCAUCGAAACGUUCACCGACAUCCUGCUGUCGUGGUUCCCGUUCUACUACGAGAUCAAGGUGAUUCUGGUGCUGUGGCUCCUGUCGCCGGCCACCCGAGGCAGUUCGACGCUGUACCGAAAGUUCGUCCACCCGAUGCUGACGCGCCGGGAACAGGAAAUCGAUGACUACAUCAACCAAGCCAAAGAGAAGGGCUACACGGCUGUGCUGCAGCUGGGCUCGAAGGGAGUGAAUUAUGCCACCAACGUCAUCAUGCAGACGGCAAUCAAGGGUGGUGGCGGUUUGGUGCAGACGCUGCGCAAAAGCUACAGCCUGAGCGACCUCUCGGAACCGGAUACGCAGCGCACCCAGGACGAGGUCGACGAAAUGUGCGCGGGAGGCAUGGGCAUCGGCAUGGGUGGCCACCAGCCGCGCGUACUGCGCUCCAAGAGUGCCCGGUCCUCCUCCGGCGGGCGCCACGUGGAAAUGUACUUCCCAGAGGUGGAGUUGGCUGGGACACCACACCGCAACGCACCACCACCGUAUAACUAUAUUCGAUCGUCCGACGAUAUCAGUUCCGGAUACUCGAGUGCCGAACCCGGGCUCAAUCGAACGGCCUCGAUGAGCAACACGGCCGCCGUUAGGCCCAGAGUUAAGUCCAAGACGCGUGAGGAUGACGACGUCGACGAAGUGUUCUAUGACGGCCGCGACGUGGACCGCUUCUACGGCAAUGGUUCCUCCGCCCAGUAUUCCCCCGCUCCGUCCGCCAUGCUGUACGAACUUCCCCCGAGUCCUCUCCCAGCCAUAACCCAGACUCCGGCCUUUGUCCCCGAAUCGCGGCACAGCGCCCCGGUUUACGCUCAGUCUCCGUCGGGGGUGGGUGCGGCGAUUCCGCCGGAAAUGGAUCAAAAGUACGAACAGUUUCUACGGUGGAUGGAGUCUCAAAAGACGGCGGUGGAGGUUGAUCCGGCGAAUACGGAAAUUCCGAAGGUUGAGCAAGUGCAAGUCAGCGCAAGUCCGGAUCCGGUCGUUGAUGGUCCUUUUUUAGACAAAGGCCUGCUUGACGAGAAGGAGGAAUUCCGGAUAGAGACUCCGCCGAUGAUGACGCCGGUUCCGGAGGAGCAGGAACAGUCCGAGAGGAGCUUUGUUGAAGAUGAGUUCCGGGAUACGAUUUCCGUUUCAAGCGGUGAGGACGAGUUUUUGGAGGUUGAGGCUGAUGAGGAAGUUGCUGAAGUAGUGGUUGAUGAAGUCAGUGAAAUUCCUUCAGUGAUCGAGACUGUUGUUGAGGAGAAACAGGAAGCUUCUCUCGAGGAAUCAAUUCCUUUCAUAGACGAUAAAGAUACCCCGGAAACUGUUCCGGAAUCGGUUGCGAUGAUUCCUGAAUCCGUUCCAGAGAUUGUCAUGGAAAGCAAUACUUCAACAGUUGAAUCUAACGAUAAGCAAGAAAUCGUCGCAGAUCUUUCAACUCUGGAAGCUUCUCAACCUCCAUCCGACAACCUCAACCAGUUGAAUGUUUCAAUUUCCAACCUUACUUCGUCAACCUCUUCCUUGGCCACUUCCGAAGCCAGCAGCCACCACGAUGAGUCCCACCCCAAGAAGGCUCUUUCUCAUGGUAAACGUAAGGCACCUCCCGUGCCGACUCCCACUACAACUCCGGAACCACCCGUGCCAGCUCCUUCAGCAGUUCCAAAACCCCCGGAACGAGUCCACAAACCGGCCGUUCCUCCACCACCGGUUCCCAAGAAAUCGCCCGCCCUCCCAGAAUCUUCCCAAAAACCAAAGUCCAAAAAGCUGAUGAGUUCCAUCACGGGAAUGUUCAAGCACGACAGUCCGUCCUCUAGCUCAGGAUCUGGCCCGAAACGGCCAGCCGAAGAUCCCACCCUGCCCCGGGAGACGGAAAUUUGAGCUCCCCCUUUCCCUGCUUUGAGUCCCUCUGAACCAUUGUCGGGCAUGUCACAUAAAAUAGUGCACACAAAAAAUCGACUUUUGGGAGAAUUGUCCUUCAGUUGAUAAAAUGUCUGCUAGCUGCACCACAUUACCUCGUUCCAAAAAGGCGGAAAAGGUCAUUAAAACACGCUCGAAGACAGAAAAGUAAAC